rnacentral:rRNA from 1 species
UACGGUGGGGGCAAGCGUUGUUCGGAAUUACUGGGCGUAAAGGGCUCGUAGGCGGCUCGUUAAGUCAGACGUGAAAGCCCUCGGCUUAACCGGGGAACGGCGUCUGAGACUGGCAAGCUUGAAUCCGGGAGAGGGAUGCGGAAUUCCAGGUGUAGCGGUGAAAUGCGUAGAUAUCAGGAGGAACACCGGUGGCGAAGGCGGGUCUCUGGGCCGAUAUUGACGCUGAGGAGCGAAAGCGUGGGGAGCGAACAGG